AGAAGAAUCAGGACUUUCAACAGGGGAAGCUUUUAGAAUCUGAGAUAUUAUUGAUGUAAAUGCUUUGCUAGACACAAUUUUAAAGGGUUUAAUAUUUAAAUUCUUAUUAAAGACUAAAUUGAUUACAGACGCUCACUAAUUUUGUUUAAAUAAAACUAAAAUAUUACACUUUUUUUAUUGUGAUCUCGGUCACAAUAGAACUGCUCCAGCUCAAAAACUACAACAUCUAGACAAGAUUUAAAAAAAGUGGUGAUGAAAAGUGAUUAAAUCAACCUUUGUUGGAGUUUCACAAAUCAGAAAAAUGUUUCACAAAUCCCAAACAUGGCUCUAAAUAUUCUGCUAUUAGAGCAGAAUAAUCCAGUCCAGGUUUGAAGUGUCUGGAUGUAGUUUUGGAACUGGAGCAGUUCUAGUAUGAUCCUGAUGCAAAAAAGUGGUAAAAUAAACCUUUAUUGAAGUUUCACAAAUCAGAAAAAUGUUUCACAAAUCACAAACAUGGUUUUAAAUAUUCUGCUAUUAGAGCAGAAUAGUCCAGUCCAGGUUUGAAGAGUCUAGGUGUUGUAGUUUUUAAACUAGAGUCGAUUAAAGAUGCGGAAGGUAGAAAAAAAUUUAGUUAGACAUGACCUUUUUGUGGCUUAUUGUCAUUGUGGAAGGUAUCAAUGACAGUAUCACCAGUCACUGUUUAGGCCAUAACAAAAUAUUUCUUUAUUUAAAAUCCUUUGUUUUUAUACAAUAUUUCAAUUUGCUAAGGAGCUAAAUUUAUUUGACUUUAAUUAUCAAGAUUAACAGAAUAAAAAAAAACAAUUGUGUACUGAAUCUACAAGCAAUACAAUAAAAAUUUCAAAGCACAAAAAUGCAGAUAAAACAAUAUUAACAAAUAUAUAGAAAAUAAAGUGACAAUAUAGAAUUAAAUUUAAUAAAACACCCAAAAAAAAGCACAAAGUAAAGAUGUCAAGCUACUGAGAAGACAUGAAUCUUAAGACGAAGCUUUGAAGUCUGUAAUAUUAGAGCAGUUAUUGCAUAACUGCAAAUUAUUCCACAAUAUUGGAGCAGCAACUGCAACAGCACAAUUAGCAUAUAGAUGAAGUUUGAUUUAGAAGGUCCAGUGGAUAAAACAAGGUCAAACAUUUGUGAAUCUUCAAAAAUCAGCAAUAAGGUUCUUUAUAAGGUGCUUUAGUUUUUGCAGGAGUGCAAUCUUAUCUGCAGUCAUCUGCUGUGAAAGCAGAACCAGUGAUUUUUUUUUUAAAAAAAUAGCUGAAAACAACAUCUCUCUCUCUCUCUCUGUUAUGGAGCUCCCAUAGCUAAUUGGGCUCCAUAAAAAGAAAAAUAUUACAGACAACACACAGCACCCUCUACAUAACACAGCAAUCCAACAACAAAGUAUCUGGUCAGAGACCAAUAGACCAGGUGCAACACAGAGCACUGAAGGAGAUUCUUCCUGCCCAAAGCUGUAACCAUCUACAGUUAAAGUCAAAUUUAUUUACACCCCUGGCAAAUUUGCAUGUUAAAUUAUUUUCAUUCUCCCAAUAAGAUUGUUUCUGUUUGGAAAGGAGACAAGAAUCUCUAAACAUUAUGUAACAAAGUGAAAGGUUUGUACAUUGAAAACCCUUAUUAAUACACAAACUUUAUUGGCAUAUUAGAACAACCACACACUUUCAUAAAUGCUGGCAAGUACUGGCACAGUUCUUUUGGGUUUGUUUGUUUUUGACUAUAUAUCCAUCCCAGUGAUGAGCUUCAAGUCUCUGAGAUGCUUGCUUUCCUGUCAGGCAGGGAAACUCCUAAAUGUUAUUAAUUCCAGUCUGAUGAAACGUAGCAAAUGGAUAGUUUGUGAUAUGGUGUCACAAUAGCACCAGUUAUCUUUAAAAAAAAAAGUUCCCAUGAUUAUAGCAAAAUAUCUCUGCAUUUUGUUACUUUUGCAUAACUGCCAAAUUUCAGAUAAAGAUUUUUGUCCCAGCUCUUCAUCCAUUUAAAGUUGGGUAUUCCAGUGAAAACAGAAUUUACCCCAAAAAACGCUUUAAAAAAAAACUAAACUAAAAACGUAAACAGAUCAACAGAAGCUAUUGACCGUAAUGCUAAAGCAGUUUCUAACAAGUUUCUAAAAAUGGGGUUCCAUAUGUGAUUGCUACUUGAGAAUAUACAGCAAUAAUUUCCUUUCUUCAAGCAACCUAUAGAGAAGCUUUUGUGGCUGGCUAAAGUAACUGAAAGUGGCAGGUGUGGAUGUCUGUAGAGGCAUGGGCUAAGUACAGAAGCACAUGUAAAUCUAUACUAUAGCUUUACAGCUGGUGGACUCAGUAGGGAAUGGACUUUUAGACCGUCUGAGAGGCCUGGCCCACAAUCCCUCACUCAGUAAACUUAUUUAUUAGUUAAUAGUUUGUCAUUUCGGGGUUACUGUCAUUUCGAGGUUACUAUGUGGCGCUAAGCUAGAAAAAGUCACUCUUUUGUUGGUCUGUUUUCCGUUUUGUGCGUCAUGCCACUUUGGAGAAAAAAAAAAAAAAAAAAAA